UGGGGAAUAUUGCACAAUGGGGGAAACCCUGCGGCAGCGACGCCGCGUGAGCGAAGAAGGUUUUCGAAUCGUAAAGCUCUGUCCUAUGGGAAGAUAAUGACGGUACCAUAGGAGGAAGCCCCGGCUAACUACGUGCCAGCAGCCGCGGUAAUACGUAGGGGGCAAGCGUUGUCCGGAAUCACUGGGCGUAAAGGGUUCGCAGGCGGAAAUGCAAGUCAGUUGUGAAAGGCAGAGGCUCAACCUCUGUAAGCAAUUGAAACUGUAUUUCUUGAGAUGUGGAGAGGCAAGUGGAAUUCCUAGUGUAGCGGUGAAAUGCGUAGAUAUUAGGAAGAAGACCGGUGGCGAAGGCGACUUGCUGGACACAAACUGACGCUGAGGAACGAAAGCGUGGGUAGCAAACAGG
rnacentral:rRNA from 1 species